GACGAACGCUGGCGGCGUGCCUAUACAUGCAAGUCGAGCGAGCUGAACCAGCAGAUUCACUUCGGUGAUGACGCUGGGAACGCGAGCGGCGGAUGGGUGAGUAACACGUGGGUAACCUGCCCUAAAGUCUGGGAUACCACUUGGAAACAGGUGCUAAUACCGGAUAACAACAAUAGCUGCAUGGCUAUUGCUUAAAAGGCGGCGAAAGCUGUCGCUAAAGGAUGGACCCGCGGUGCAUUAGCUAGUUGGUAAGGUAACGGCUUACCAAGGCGACGAUGCAUAGCCGAGUUGAGAGACUGAUCGGCCACAUUGGGACUGAGACACGGCCCAAACUCCUACGGGAGGCAGCAGUAGGGAAUCUUCCACAAUGGGCGAAAGCCUGAUGGAGCAACGCCGCGUGAGUGAAGAAGGUUUUCGGAUCGUAAAGCUCUGUUGUUGGUGAAGAAGGAUAGAGGUAGUAACUGGCCCCUAUUUGACGGUAAUCAACCAGAAAGUCACGGCUAACUACGUGCCAGCCGCCGCCGUAA
rnacentral:rRNA from 1 species